GAUGAUCGCUGGCGGCGUGCUUAACACAUGCAAGUCGAACGGAAAGGCCCAAGCUUGCUUGGGUACUCGAGUGGCGAACGGGUGAGUAACACGUGGGUGAUCUGCCCUGCACUUCGGGAUAAGCCUGGGAAACUGGGUCUAAUACCGGAUAGGACGAUGGUUUGGAUGCCAUUGUGGAAAGUUUUUUCGGUGUGGGAUGAGCUCGCGGCCUAUCAGCUUGUUGGUGGGGUAAUGGCCUACCAAGGCGUCGACGGGUAGCCGGCCUGAGAGGGUGUACGGCCACAUUGGGACUGAGAUACGGCCCAGACUCCUACGGGAGGCAGCAGUGGGGAAUAUUGCACAAUGGGCGCAAGCCUGAUGCAGCGACGCCGCGUGGGGGAUGACGGCCUUCGGGUUGUAAACUCCUUUCGCUAGGGACGAAGCGUUUUUGUGACGGUACCUGGAGAAGAAGCACCGGCUAACUACGUG
rnacentral:rRNA from 1 species